rnacentral:rRNA from 1 species
UACGUAGGGGGCAAGCGUUGUCCGGAUUUAUUGGGCGUAAAGAGCGUGUAGGCGGCCGUACAGGUCAGCUGUGAAAACUCGAGGCUCAACCUCGAGACGCCGGUUGAAACCGUCUGGCUAGAGUCCGGAAGAGGAGAGUGGAAUUCCCGGUGUAGCGGUGAAAUGCGCAGAUAUCGGGAAGAACACCCGUGGCGAAGGCGGCUCUCUGGGACGGUACUGACGCUGAGACGCGAAAGCGUGGGGAGCGAACAGG